rnacentral:rRNA from 1 species
AUUGAACGCUGGCGGCAUGCCUUACACAUGCAAGUCGAACGGCAGCGCGGGGCAACCUGGCGGCGAGUGGCGAACGGGUGAGUAAUAUAUCGGAACAUACCCUAGAGUGGGGGAUAACGUAGCGAAAGUUACGCUAAUACCGCAUACGCACUAAGGUGGAAAGUGGGGGAUCUUCGGACCUCAUGCUCAUGGAGUGGCCGAUAUCUGAUUAGCUAGUUGGUGAGGUAAAGGCUCACCAAGGCGACGAUCAGUAGCUGGUUUGAGAGAACGACCAGCCACACUGGAACUGAGACACGGUCCAGACUCCUACGGGAGGCAGCAGUGGGGAAUUUUGGACAAUGGGGGGCAACCCUGAUCCAGCAAUGCCGCGUGAGUGAAGAAGGCCUUCGGGUUUGG